GGGGUGCAGCAGGCGCGAAAACUUUGCAAUACACGAAAGUGUGACAGGGCUAUCCCGAGUGCCAUCCGCUGAGGAAGGCUUUUACCCAGUCUAGAACGCUGGGGGAAUAAGGAGAGGGCAAGUCUGGUGUCAGCCGCCGCGGUAAUACCAGCUCUCCGAGUGGUGUGGAUGUUUAUUGGGCCUAAAGCAUCCGUAGCUGGCUAAGUUAGUCCCUUGUUAAAUCCACCGAAUUAAUCGUUGGAUUGCGGGGGAUACUGCUUGGCUAGGGGACGAGAGAGGCAGACGGUAUUUCCGGGGUAGGGGUGAAAUCCUAUAAUCCCGGGAAGACCACCAGUGGCGAAGGCUGUCUGCUAGAACGCGCCCGACGGUGAGGGAUGAAAGCUGGGGGAGCGAACCGGAUUAGAUACCCGGGUAGUCCCAGCUGUAAACGAUGCAGGCUAGGUGUUUGGACGGCCACGUGCCGUUCUAGUGCCGCAGGGAAGCUGUUAAGCCUGCCGCCUGGGGAGUACGAUCGCAAGAUUGAAACUUAAAGGAAUUGGCGGGGGAGCAC
rnacentral:rRNA from 1 species